UAAAGGUGAUGUCUAAAGCCUGCUCCAAGGUAUAUAUCCUGGUGUCUUUGGCUUCUACCUCAACCUUCAACUGUCCUAUCUGUAUCUCCCUCUACUCCAACCUCUCUCGUAGCUCGGUUAACUCCAUCUGUGUUCGGUGAGCAGCGUCCUUGUACUGCUGUUCUGAAAUCUGGAGAGUACGAUUUCGUGCCUCCGCUUGCUCGAUUCUAACCUUUAAGUUGUCGUUCCUAACUAUCAAAUCUCUUAUCAUCUCACUGUCUGUGUACUCCUCGCUAGAGUCCAUCGUCUCUUAGGUCAAGGAAUUACUAUCUUGACUUUCGUC
rnacentral:lncRNA from 1 species